rnacentral:rRNA from 1 species
GGAGUUUUCGGCAAUGGGGGAAACCCUGACCGAGCAACGCCGCGUGAACGAUGAAGGUCUUCGGAUUGUAAAGUUCUGUUAUCAGGGAAGAAUGAUAUCGUGAGGAAAUGCUCGAUGUUUGACGGUACCUGAUUAGAAAGCCACGGCUAACUACGUGCCAGCAGCCGCGGUAAUACGUAGGUGGCGAGCGUUAUCCGGAUUUAUUGGGCGUAAAGCGAGCGCAGGCGGUUUGAUAAGUCUGAUGUGAAAGCCUUUGGCUUAACCAAAGAAGUGCAUCGGAAACUGUCAGACUUGAGUGCAGAAGAGGACAGUGGAACUCCAUGUGUAGCGGUGGAAUGCGUAGAUAUAUGGAAGAACACCAGUGGCGAAGGCGGCUGUCUGGUCUGCAACUGACGCUGAGGCUCGAAAGCAUGGGUAGCGAACA